rnacentral:sRNA from 1 species
GCGAGGUGUGGUGGCGCACGCUUGUAAUCCCAGCAUCUCGGGAGGCUGAGACAGGAGGAUCUUGAGUCAACCUCAGCAAAGGCAAGGCGCUAAGCAACUCAGUGAGAACCUGUCUCUU